GAUGAACGCUGGCGGCGUGCUUAACACAUGCAAGUCGAACGGAAAGGCCCAAGCUUGCUUGGGUACUCGAGUGGCGAACGGGUGAGUAACACGUGGGUGCUCUGCCCUGCACUUCGGGAUAAGCCUGGGAAACUGGGUCUAAUACCGGAUAGGACCACUUCUUGGAUGUUGUGGUGGAAAGUUUUUUCGGUGUGGGAUGAGCUCGCGGCCUAUCAGCUUGUUGGUGGGGUAAUGGCCUACCAAGGCGUCGACGGGUAGCCGGCCUGAGAGGGUGUACGGCCACAUUGGGACUGAGAUACGGCCCAGGCUCCUACGGGAGGCAGCAGGGGGGAAUAUUGCACAAUGGGCGCAAGCCUGAUGCAGCGACGCCGCGUGGGGGAUGACGGCCUUCGGGUUGUAAACUCCUUUCGCUAGGGACGAAGCGUUUUGUGACGGUACCUGGAGAAGAAGCACCGGCUAACUACGUG
rnacentral:rRNA from 1 species